CAGCAGCCGCCGCGGGAAUACGGAGGGUGCAAGCGUUAAUCGGAAUUACUGGGCGUAAAGCGCACGCAGGCGGUUUGUUAAGUCAGAUGUGAAAUCCCCGAGCUUAACUUGGGAACUGCAUUUGAAACUGGCAAGCUAGAGUCUUGUAGAGGGGGGUAGAAUUCCAGGUGUAGCGGUGAAAUGCGUAGAGAUCGGAAGGAACACCAGUGGCGAAGGCGGCUCACUGGUCCAUUACUGACGCUGAGGUGCGAAAGCGUGGGGAGCAAACAGGAUUAGAUACCCCAGUAGUCCCUGUCUCUUAUAC
rnacentral:rRNA from 1 species